AUCUCUCCAAAUAAUUUAUAAUUUUAUGUAAAAGUAAUUGGGAGAGGGAAGUGGGUCACAAAGGCGAACAAGUCAUUCGACUUCUGUUGUUUGUUUGUUUGUUUGUUGUGGCCAUAACUACUAACGACGGCUUUUGUUCCCACAUGAUGAUGAUAAUUAUUGGCAGAUGAUGAGGCGGAGGCCCUCUCGCUUGCGGGAAAAGACAAAAUCCCCUUUUUCUACCUCUUCGCUCGCCUGUAUUGCCCAUAUAUCCCAAACCAUAUAUUGUAUGUCCAACGUUUGCUAAACGCAAUUAAUUUGAGAUCAAAAGACUUGGUCGAUCGGUUUUUCCAACCAAAUCCAAAAAUUGUGGACUCCCGCCGAACCAAAAAGCACAAAUGACCUAACCAAAAUAUAUUAAAAUAAAUACUUGUUUAAGAGGUUUUUUGGAUUGGUCUCUCUGUCACUGAGAGGUCAUUGAUCUGUUCGUAUUCUUCGUGCUGCCCUUUUGUAAUUAAAGAUCAUUGACGACUGCGAGUAAAACAAAACAAAUGAGAUUUACGUCAAGACGAGAUAUGUUAAUUAAACAAAAACACAUAUAUAUGACCGCAGCAGAGAGCUAGACGUUAUACAACUCAUAUUAUUUUAAAUGACCAACCAUUAUAUUUAUAUUCAUUGCCUCGACUCUGCUAUCGUACUCUGUCCUCCUCCUCGCUUACAAUGUCGACUAGCUGUACUUGCUAUAUAUAUCGAACCAAAUAAUUCAUAGUUUAUGGUGUUUUUCCGUAAUUCAUCGUUUUUUUUUUUUUGCCCUCUACUUAAUUUACAUAUAAAAUAGUCCUAAUUAAUACCGUUAUAUUGCUCAGACUCAGAGUAUAGGAAACAAUAACAACAUAAUUUUUUCCGCGUUUUCUCUAUGUCUUUUGCAAAAUAUUUUUGCAUUCUAAAAAAUACAAUGCCAAAUUAUAAAAU
rnacentral:lncRNA from 1 species